GACGAACGCUGGCGGCGUGCUUAACACAUGCAAGUCGAACGGAAAGGCCCUGCUUUUGUGGGGUGCUCGAGUGGCGAACGGGUGAGUAACACGUGCGUAACCUGCCCUUGACUUUGGGAUAACUACAGGAAACUGGGGCUAACACCGAAUAGGAGCUCCUUCUGCAUGGUGGGGGUUGUAAAGUUUCGGCGGUUGGGGAUUGACUCCCGGCUUAUCAGCUUGUUGGUGGGGUAGUGGCGUACCAAGGAUUUGACGGGUAGCCGGCCUGAGAGGGUGACCGGCCACAGUGGGACUGAGAAACGGCCCAGACUCCUACGGGAGGCAUCAGUGGGGAAUAGUGCACGAUGGGCGGAAGCCUGAUGCAGCAACGCCGCGUGCGGGAUGACGGCCUUCGGGUUGUAAACCGCUUUCGCCUGUGACGAAGCGUGAGUGACGGUAAUGGGUAAAGAAGCACCGGCUAACUACGUG
rnacentral:rRNA from 1 species